GGGGGCGAAACGGUCUCGACGGGGAUGUGCGGGAGGUGGUCGCGCGCCGAGUUCCGGGCUCUCGUAAAACGACCGGAAACCCACAACUGCCAACAAUAACUUGGCUCUGGCGGCGUAAGCUGCCACGUCCUUGAUGGGAGGGCCCGCGGCCUUUCAAGGACGACGCUAGCGGGAUGCUCCGGCGCGGCUCGCCCCGGCCGCGCCGGCUAAGAGGCAGAGGGCUAGCGACCCGACGAAUUGCCGGCUCCAUUGGCGGGAAGCGAAAUCCUGGGAACCGGCUACGCGCGUAGAAGCCGCCUUGGCCGGCAUUUCCGGACGCGGGUUCGACUCCCGCCGCCUCCACCA
rnacentral:tmRNA from 1 species